rnacentral:sRNA from 1 species
ACAUGAUAUUUCAAAAAACAUAGUUAUUUUUUGAAAAAUAAAUUGUUAUAGAAAAUUUUAAUCUGAAUUGAAUCUUUUAAGAAGAAAUCACAUCUGAACUUAAUAAAACCGUGUAUAUUAGAAAAUAAGAAGUUUGGGUUCGAGUCCCAGAUACUGCGAUUUAUUAGCAAAUUAAUGGAGGCAAGUAUGCAGUAGAUCUCCAACGAUGUACAAUUAUAGCCGUUCGACAAGAUUCUACGCAGAGAAGAUCAUUGUAGGUGUCCAUCAAGAGCAUGAAGAAGGAGGUGGCGUCUUUCUUGGAUCUAAUAAGGGUAGGAAAGAAUUGUUCGUAGUAGAAUCGUCUAUGUAACAAUUUUCAUAAUUUACAAUAAAUAAUAAAUGUAAGACGGCAAAAAAAGUAAAUCACAUGUGAUCUUAAUAAAAAACGU